GAUGAACGCCGGCGGCGUGCUUAACACAUGCAAGUCGAGCGAAGCGCUUUGGUUAGAUUCUUCGGAUGAAGACCUUUGUGACUGAGCGGCGGACGGGUGAGUAACGCGUGGGUAACCUGCCUCAUACAGGGGGAUAACAGUUAGAAAUGACUGCUAAUACCGCAUAAGACCACAGUACCGCAUGGUACAGGGGUAAAAACUCCGGUGGUAUGAGAUGGACCCGCGUCUGAUUAGCUGGUUGGUGGGGUAACGGCCUACCAAGGCUGUGAUGCGUAGCCGAGUUGAGAGACUGAUCGG
rnacentral:rRNA from 1 species